CCUCGCCUGCCUUCUCGCGCUGUUUCUAGCUCUCGCCAUCCCUCGGCGUACUCUUCCUCUCCUCCGAGUCAGAGUACCCUGGAGGGAUAAUGCUCUGCAGAUGAGGUUCUUGCUAUGUUGCCUAGGCUGGUCUUGAACUUCUGGCCUCAAGAAAUCCUCCUCCUGAUCCUCCUACCUCAGCCUUCCAAAGUGUUGGGAUUACAGCACUGGCUAGAACUUCCAUCCCUGUGGUGAAUAAGAGUGAUGAAAGUGGACACCAUCGUAUUAUUGAAUUGAAGGGGUUCUGGGAAGAUAGUGGUGACUCAGAUACAUGGUUCCAGACCUCAAAAAGCUGAGGAUAUUGCAGGGUAUGCAGAUGUAGAUGGAUAACAUGACCACAAGAGUUAGGCCCCGAAGCAGAUGAUUGCCUCUGGCACCCGCCGUAUGCAAUUCGAGGUGAAAUUUCCAAGAGCCAAAUGAAAUAAUUGCAACAGGCCUUCAUGGGGCUUUGAAUUCAGCCUCAAACAUUGUGAUAAUCCGAUCCUGACACUUGCCCUCCCCUCAUUCACUCUUUU
rnacentral:lncRNA from 1 species